UGCACACGCUAGGGGUCCUGCGCACGGCAUACAGCUGCGGCGCGGGUGAGAAAUACCCUCCGAACCUGAUCUGGAUAAUGCCAGCGAAGGGAAGCUCAGGAUUGCGCCG
rnacentral:ncRNA from 2 species